rnacentral:rRNA from 1 species
GACGAACGCUGGCGGCGUGCUUAACACAUGCAAGUCGAACGGUGAAGCGCCUUCCUUUUUGGUGGGUGUGGAUGAGUGGCGAACGGGUGAGUAACACGUGAGUAACCUGCCCCCUUCUUCUGGAUAACCGCAUGAAAGUGUGGCUAAUACGGGAUAUUCUGGGUCUGUCGCAUGAUGGGUCUGGGAAAGAUAUUGUUUCGGUGGGGGAUGGGCUCGCGGCCUUUCAGCUUGUUGGUGGGGUGAUGGCCUACCAAGGCGGUGACGGGUAGCCGGCCUGAGAGGGUGGACGGUCACACUGGGACUGAGACACGGCCCAGACUCCUACGGGAGGCAGCAGUGGGGAAUAUUGCACAAUGGGCGCAAGCCUGAUGCAGCGACGCCGCGUGAGGGAUGGAGGCCUUCGGGUUGUGAACCUCUUUCGCCAGUGAAGCAGGCCUGCCUCGUUUGUGGGUGGGUUGACGGUAGCUGGAUAAGAAGCGCCGGCUAACUACGUG